UAAAGAAACAGAUUUCAGCUUCCUAAUGGAUGACAUUUGGCUUAUGAAGUAAAAAGAUAUCCAGCUGGCAGGGCAAUAUUUUGGUUGACCUCAUUCUCUUCUUUCGUCAAGGCUAGAAGGUUGCCUCAAAUGAUUCAAAUUUACAUCAAAUGAGGCAUACAGGAGGCCGUUGGAUGGGCAUUAGGUUUCCUUGUGUUGGGAGGAGGUAGUGUCGAUCCCGCUUCUGGGGAAUUGAUUUGGGUACCUUUUGAAGUUUGGUUCUCAUAUGUUGGUCCUGAAAGAUAUUUUUGUGCAAGUGGCCAAUUGAUGUUACGCUUAUUUGAAAGCCAAGCCUGGUGUGCCUGCACUGCAAUAAUCAGAGCUGGAAUCAGUGAGUGGGGCUUUCAACAUGAUUACGGGGUUGCAUCUAGCUCCACAAGCCACCUUUAUCACAUCCUUUUAAGACCUGAAUGCGACGUAGUACUACAUUACAAGGGUCAUUCAGGUAGGUGGUGUCAGUUCUUGAUUGUGUAUGACUGAUUAUGCCAAGGUAUUUAAUCUACCGUUUUUUCACUCGAUAGAGGUUUCCUAGGAUACUCAAUCUCUGCAUGUGUUAUACGCGUCGGCCAACUUUGUGUUCGCCGAUGACCAGUACCUCCGCGGCAUUAGAUAAUUUUUCCAGCGUACAGAUUUUAGUAGACAAAACGAAUGUUGUUAUGAAAGAUUUUUCAGACCAGAAAACACAUAAGAGCCUGCGAGAGCAAGGGGAACCAGUAUGCAUCUUGUUUGGAAUGCAUUUGGCCAGCUGCCAUGGAUGUGGUAUGGUGGCAUUACAAAAAUUUCUAUUUUCUUCAUGUUGGGUAGUGUGCUGUAUAACACCUCAGCUUUCUUGUUCUUCAUGUUGUGUAGUUCUACAAAGGAAAAUGAUAAAUUAGUGUACUUGUUUCUUUCUGUCAUUUAAUUGAGGAGAUGCUUAAAUUAUCUGGCACUGUUUGAAAUACUACAGAAAUAGAUGCAUGUAUAUUUACCUUUGCAGCACUUGUAUUUAUGAUACACACAUGUUGUAUUUUCCAUAGAUAAAGCACCUUUAUUUGUCUACUUCACCGUUUGAUUUACACUCAUUCACAACACAGUACACCAUGUGAUUUUCGGUGAGUUUCACACUCACAUCCAUAGUUGAUUCUGUUCCCUGUAGAAAAUUCAUAGUAGCAGUGCUGUGAGGAUUAUAAUUUAUCUGAUGUGCUAUGCUUUGUUAUGUUAAUGGAUUUGACAAAGAUAAUGAUGACCCAAGCAUGUUUUAUUUCAUAGUUGUGGAACUCUAAGCAAGGCGCAGUUCCCCUCCAAGUUACCCUCCAAGUGUACAGCGUGUGAUUCGCCAUGUUGAGGAAUCCUGCAUUUACUUGCAUAUAAUCCUCCCUUUUUUUUUGUAAAAUUAGAGCUUAAAUCAGCUAGCCAGUGGCAGCUAAAUGCCCAGGUAGGUUGAGAUAUUGAUGGAGCUGAUAAUCUCUAUUACUUUAUGAAUUAAUGAUUGCUGGUAUCACUAGGAUAGUAGUUAAUGAAUCUUGAAAUCAUGUCUCGCCAUGCAUAAUUUUGCUGAUUGGUAUAACCAUGUUACCUACGAUAUUGGUUCUUGUUUUGAGUACAAGAAAAUAAAGAUUGGGGGCAUUGAAAGUAUCCUUUUUUGUAGUUAAACUAGAUGACCACUUCUGAUGUUGUUUUGCAAUCAUGAUAUGUUCUGAAUUUCUAUUGGAAGGGUGGUGAUGAUGUCGCUCUGUGGACAGCCUGGCAGAAGAUGAAGCGGCCGAUUACCUGAAAUUGUUUUACCGUGUAGCUUACUACUAAUCUAAGACAUCUCUAUUGCUUGGUUCAUUGUAAUCUGGUAUACUGUUGCAGUAGAGCUUUAUGAUGACAUUAUUGUCACUUUACUUCCAAUAUAGUAUUAUUGCUGCUUAAAAUUUACAUUAUUUAUGGGUAUUUCCUUGCCAUUCAUGUAAACAAUGUACCUUCAAAAUAGUUACUAUGAUCAGUAGUAGAUAUCGCUGAUUCACUCCAGCUUUGUACAAACUCUGGUCGACACUUCAUAUGAAUCGAAU